AGAGUUUGAUCCUGGCUCAGAAUGAACGCUGGCGGCGUGCCUUACACAUGCAAGUCGAGCGAGGCCGGGUAGCAAUACCCGAGUCGAGCGGCGAACGGGUGAGUAACACGUGGAUAACCUGCCCAGAGGUGGGGGAUAACCCGGGGAAACUCGGGCUAAUACCGCAUGAUACCGAGAGGUCAAAGGGGGCUCGCAAGGGCUCUCGCCAUUGGAGGGGUCCGCGUCCGAUUAGCUAGUUGGUAGGGUAAUGGCCUACCAAGGCGACGAUCGGUAGCCGGCCUGAGAGGGUGAUCGGCCACACUGGAACUGAGACACGGUCCAGACUCCUACGGGAGGCAGCAGUGGGGAAUUUUGCGCAAUGGGCUAACGCCUGACGCAGCAACGCCGCGUGGAGGAUGAAGGUCUUUGGAUUGUAAACUCCUGUCAGCAGGGAAAAAGCGAUAGGUGCUCAUACCACCUAAAGUUGAUUGUACCUGCAGAGGAAGCCCCGGCUAACUCUGUGCCAGCCGCCGCGGUAAUAC
rnacentral:rRNA from 1 species